rnacentral:tRNA from 1 species
GAUCCCUUAGCUCAGUUGGAUCAGAGCGGUGCUUUCCUAAAGCACAGGUCGCAGGUUCGAGACCUGCAGGGAUCA